ACGGCGAGUGAAGCGGCAAAAGCUCAAAUUUGAAAUCUGGUACCUUCGGUGCCCGAGUUGUAAUUUGGAGAGGGCAACUUUGGGGCCGUUCCUUGUCUAUGUUCCUUGGAACAGGACGUCAUAGAGGGUGAGAAUCCCGUGUGGCGAGGAGUGCGGUUCUUUGUAAAGUGCCUUCGAAGAGUCGAGUUGUUUGGGAAUGCAGCUCUAAGUGGGUGGUAAAUUCCAUCUAAAGCUAAAUAUUGGCGAGAGACCGAUAGCGAACAAGUACAGUGAUGGAAAGAUGAAAAGAACUUUGAAAAGAGAGUGAAAAAGUACGUGAAAUUGUUGAAAGGGAAGGGCAUUUGAUCAGACAUGGUGUUUUGUGCCCUCUGCUCCUUGUGGGUAGGGGAAUCUCGCAUUUCACUGGGCCAACAUCAAUUUUGGCGGCAGGAUAAAUCCAUACGAACGUACCUUGCCUCGG
rnacentral:rRNA from 1 species